CAAGAAAAGAGUGAGGAGGGAGAAAGAGGGAGGGAAGGAGGGGGGAGCGGAGCGCCUCCAGGCAGAAGUUGCGCCGCAAUUUGUUCUCUGUGGAUGCUUUCCCUCCUCUCUCACAGCCUGGGAGGAAUCAGGAAAGGAGGAGCGGCAAAGAGAGAGAGAGAGGGAUACAGCUCGAGACGAGCCCAGCAGCCAUACGCCGCGCGCUGAACCCGGAUUAAAUGAGUUCGCCUCGUCCAAUCGCUGCGCACGGGCGAGGGGAUUAUUUGCAUGGCGCGCGGGAGGAGUGACGUCCGGAGAACUCCACCAGGUCUCAGGGGCCUACUCCAAAUUCCAGUACUUGAUCCAGUUUGAGCAUGGAACCUUACAUGAAGAUCAUUUUAUCUUGAAUAUAGAGAGUGAAACCUCUCUCCGGAUGGAUCUUUUCUUGGUGUGACUUCGGGCGUCGUCUUCAAAGGAACACCAACCGCAAAACCCGGUCUGACUGCUGCUUCCUACACCCACAGGAGUGCUCUUAGGGUCCCAUCUACACCGGCCAUUUAAUGCGGUUAGAAACUAGCUUCAACCGCUGGGCCCAGGCAACAAACUCCUACAAAAGCGCGGGAAAGAUAGCCCACCCCGCCCAGCAUCAGAACAAUGUAGUUUGUGUCAUCACACUAGUUCCACUUUUGUCAAUGCCGGUGUGAGAGAAUUGGAGAAUUGGCCGCCUGCAAGGACGUUGCCCAGGGGACGCCCGGAUGUUUUACAAUCCUGUGAGAGACUUCUCUAGUGUCCUUGCAUGAGAAGCUGGAGCUGACAAACGGGAGCUCACCCCGCUCCCGGAUUCGAACCAGCAGUCCUGCCGGCUCAUUAAUCCACCGAUUUGAAAGUGACUCAAAUGAUCAGUGUAGUGAAGUCCUGGGUGACUCUAGGGCACGUUUGGAAACCAAACGAAGGGUGGAUCCUAGAUUCUCAACUUUUGGGACAGAAUCCGGUUGUAUCUACACUGCCAUAUAAUCCGGUUCAAAGUAGAUAAUCUGGAGUUAUAUGGCAGUGUAGAUCUACCCUUAGGCCCCAUCUAAAAUCUAGAUUUGUUGUCGUAUUAGGAGCGACUUGGGAAACUGCAAGUCGCUUCUGGUGUGAGAGAAGUGGCCGUCUGCAAGGACGUUGCCCAGGGGAUGCCCGGAUGUUUUGAUGUUUUUACCAUCCUUGUGGGAGGCUUCUCUCAUGUCCCCCCAUGAGGAGUUGGAGCUGGAGCUGAUAGAGGGAGCUCAUCUGCGUUCUCCCCGGAUUCGAACCUGCGACCUGUCGGUCUUCAGACCUACCUGCACAGGGGUUUAACCCACUGUGCCAGGGGUGGGGGUGGUUAUCUAGAUUAUCUGCUUUGAAGUGGAUUAUAUGGCAGUGAAGACUCAUAUAAUUCAGUAUGAAACAGGUAAUGUGGAAGCAAACCUUUUGAGCAAAAGGGUGGGCAGUGGAGCACUGAGUCUAUAAAGAGGGGUUGCCAGGAGACAAAGGAUGAACUGAUUUUAUUUUUUCUUAUUAAAAUAAUAUCAUAUGAC